AUGCGGUGCCAGCUCAGUGCCAACGAGGUGCCGGUGCCAUUCCCGUGCCAUCCCCGUGCCGUGCCAACACGGUGCCGGUGCCGUUCCCGUGCCAAGGUGAUGCCAACGCGGUGCCGGUGCCGGUGCCAUCCCCGUGCCAACGCGGUGCCAACGCGGUGCCGGUGCCGUUGCCGUCCCCCCCCCCAACCCUCCCCAUAUCCCCUCCCGGUGCCGCCCCCGGCCCGCCCCCGCCCCUCCCCUGCCCUCCCCCGGUGCUCGGCGGGGCCGUGCCGGUGCUCGGCGGCGGCGGCGGCGGCGGCGAUGGCGCUGUCGGGGCCGCCCCGUUCCUGCCUCCUGCUGGCGGCCGCGCUGCUGCUGCCGCUGCCCGGGGCCGCCCCGGACCCCGCCGCGCCCGCGCUCACCGACGCCGAGAUCGAGGCGUUCCUCAGGGGCUUCCUCGGGCCCGACGGGGACCGCGACGGCGACGGCGACGGGGACGGGGACGGGGAUGGCACCGAGCCGGGCUUCGCCACCGAGCAGGGCACCGGCACCGGGCUGAGCACCGACCCUCCGGGGCGGCUGCCGGAGCCCGAGGCACCCAAGAAGGGCCGGAAGGAAAAAGCCCCAAAACCCACCAAAAAGCCCAAGGAGAGAGCACGGGGCUCCAAAAAGGACAAGGACAGGGACAGGGACAAGGAGCGGGACAAGAGCAGGGACAAGAGCAAGGACGGGGACAAGCCCCCCAAGAAGCCCAAGGAGAAGACCCCAAAAGGCUCCGAGAAACCCCCAAAAGGCUCCGAGAAACCCCCAAAAGGCUCCAAGAAGCCCAAGGAGAAGCCGCCCAAGGAGAAGCCACCCAAGGAGAAGCCACCCAAGGCCACCAAGAAGCCCUCGGGCACGAGGCCCCCGGAGCCACCGGACACCCCCUGGGAGCCCCCCGUGGCCCCGCACCCCCCGCGGGGCGAGGACAGAGAGGGGACGUCCCUGUCCCCAGGGCAGCCGCGGGUCCCUGAGGAGGAGGAGGAGGAUGGCAGAGACCGAGGCGGGCUGGAGGAGCUGCCGACGGAGCGCUGGGAGCUGGGGGGGGAGGACUGGCACCCCCCUCCCGAGGCUGAGGUCCCCGCGGAGCCGGAGCCGCCGACGCUGGACUACAACGAGCAGCUGGAGCGGGAGGACUACGAGGACUUCGAGUACAUUCGGCGGCAGCAGAAACCCCGCAAGCCCCCCAGCAGGAAGAAACCCGAGCGAGUCUGGCCCCAGCCGGAGACGCCACCACGUCAGUGCGGUGACAGGGGGACAAAGGGGGACAAAGGGGGCUGGCGGGGGGGGGUCCCCAGUCCCAGGUGGGGGGCGGCAUCGUUUUGGGGCAGCCCAGGGCUGGGACGGGCAUGGGGACAGCAGGGAUGGAUGGGGAGCAUGUGA
rnacentral:lncRNA from 1 species